rnacentral:rRNA from 1 species
AUGAGAGGGGGAGGAAGAGGGAGAGAGAGAAGGAAGGAGAGGAGAGGAGAGAGAAAGAGAGAGGAGAAAGGAGAGGAGGGGGGCGACGGCGGUCGGGAGAGGAUCACCGGAAGGAGUGUCGCCGGCUCAUCGUCUUUCAUACCUACCCAUGCAGGGGUGUUGCAAGGAGUUAGAGGUCGUGCGCUGGCCGGAGCAGCAGGAGCAAGGAUAUGGCCGCCUCUCUUCUCUGCCACGGUUCCCUCCUCUUCCUUCAGCUCUCGAGAUGUCGACCUGCAGGUUAAGGCAAACCAUUGUUUGACAACAAAUAUGCGGAGGCGUUUUUAUGAAUGUGCAUUUCACCUGAAUCUGGAGAGCUAUUUUAUCUGUCGCGGACAUUUUUGGUGGAAUUCAAUGUUUAGCAGGAUUAUUAUGGAUUUUCUGAAGGUGGUGGUGGGGGUUGCACGGCAUGUUCCGUCUGGUUUCAGUGUACAAUCAUAUAUUUGUCAGCCAUGGCUCCUUAGAGAGCUGGACAUGCUUGGUUGGAGUCGUCGUCGUCCUGGUUGGGGAGAUGAGCAUGCUUAUGCUUAUCUAACAUAUAAAGCCUCCUAG